rnacentral:rRNA from 1 species
UACGUAGGGUGCAGGCGUUGUCCGGAAUUAUUGGGCGUAAAGAGCUUGUAGGCGGUUUGUCGCGUCUGCUGUGAAAUUUCGGGGCUCAACCCCGGACUUGCAGUGGGUACGGGCAGACUAGAGUGUGGUAGGGGAGACUGGAAUUCCUGGUGUAGCGGUGAAAUGCGCAGAUAUCAGGAGGAACACCGAUGGCGAAGGCAGGUCUCUGGGCCACUACUGACGCUGAGAAGCGAAAGCAUGGGGAGCGAACAGG